GCUGUGUUAUCCUGAAGUUUUUUUGUCGUCCGAUCACCGAAGUUAAGCAAUGUCGGGCCCGGUCAGUACUUGGGAGGGUGACCACCUGGGAACACCGAGUGCUAUAGGCA